UACAGAGGUCUCGAGCGUUAGGCGGAAUCACUGGGCUUAAAGCGUGUGUAGGUGGAUCGUUAAGUACCUUGUGAAAUCCCACGGCUUAACCGUGGAACUGCUUGGUAUACUGGCGGUCUUGAGCCAGCUAGGGGCUACCGGAACAAAUGGUGGAGCGGUGAAAUGCGUAGAUAUCAUUUGGAACGCCAAUGGUGAAAACAGCUCGCUGGG
rnacentral:rRNA from 1 species